GAUGAACGCUGGCGGCGUGCCUAAUACAUGCAAGUCGAGCGAACAGACGAGGAGCUUGCUCCUCUGACGUUAGCGGCGGACGGGUGAGUAACACGUGGAUAACCUACCUAUAAGACUGGGAUAACUUCGGGAAACCGGAGCUAAUACCGGAUAAUAUAUUGAACCGCAUGGUUCAAUAGUGAAAGACGGUUUUGCUGUCACUUAUAGAUGGAUCCGCGCCGCAUUAGCUAGUUGGUAAGGUAACGGCUUACCAAGGCAACGAUGCGUAGCCGACCUGAGAGGGUGAUCGGCCACACUGGAACUGGAACACGUUCCAGACUCCUACGGGAGGCAGCAGUAGGGAAUCUUGCGCAAUGGGCGAAAGCCUGACGGAGCAGCGCCGCGUGAGUGAUGAAGGUCUUCGUAUCGUAAAACUCUGUUAUUAGGGAAGAACAAAUGUGUAAGUAACUAUGCACGUCUUGACGGUACCGAAUCAGAGAGCCACGGCUAACUACGAG
rnacentral:rRNA from 1 species